UACAUACUCCCUCCGUCCGGAAAUACUUGUCGGAGAAAUGGAUGUAUCUAGGCGUAUUUUAGUUCUAGAUACAUCCAUUUUUAUCCAUUUCUCCGACAAGUAUUUCCGGACAGAGGGAGUAUAUG
rnacentral:pre_miRNA from 1 species